CACGUACUUAACUGUAAUUAAUACUUUGAAAGCCUGGAGCUUGAGAGUUAGGCAAUUUAGGCAUUUGAAUCUGAAAACAAAUCAGGUUAUUAUAUUUUAUAGCUUCGUGCGGGUAUUGCUCGGUUAAAUAGAGAACAAGGUCUUCGGCGAAAAAUGUUAGGUAAUUAUGUAACUUGUUAUUCCUCGUUUCCAGUGCAAUAAUUGUGUACGUAGGCUUCCAAGGUAUUAUAGCGCGUUAUACGACAAUUGAAAAAAUUGUACAUAUGCACGUUGGCUUUUAUUAAAUUAUCGAAUGAUUAAUUUACUGUUUUGUUGGAGCGUUUAAUUUUAUUUUUGUAAGUUCUUGGUGAAUAAGUAAAUAGACGCAUAUAGUUUUUAAGGAUAGAGUUAAGAAACGGCAAAGCAUAUUAGGAAUCAUCUCUGAUGACGAGUAUAUUCCAUUUUUUUAUACUACCAGUUUGGAGAGAGAUUCCUGUACAUUUUAUAAACAUCGUGACAUUCAUAAAUUAAAAUGAGAAAGUCGGCGUUUAUGAUAAUAUUAAACAAAGUAAUAUUAGUCUAAGAUAAUAGUAAUGUAUAAUCAUUAUGCAUAAUAACUGAAACAUUAAGAAGGGAGCGAUACAAAUCGAUUAGUAAUUUUUAUCCAAUUAACAUAGCAAUUUUUGAAUAUAAAAAUUAUUUAUGGAAUUGUAAAACUGCCAUUAUAAAUAAAUUACAACUUUUCGAAACUUUUUCUUCGCUCCAAGAUAAUUUCCAUAUCAAAGCUGUAGGAAAAUUUCUGUGUUUAAGAUUGAGUUUACACAUUUUUAUAAUUAACGACUUAAAUUUCCUCUCUCGAUGUUUCAGUUAGUCAUUAAAAUUAUUCGUCUUUCCAAAUAAAAUCGCACUUACCAACAA